GAUGAACGCUGGCGGCGUGCCUAAUACAUGCAAGUCGAGCGAACCACUUCGGUGGUGAGCGGCGAACGGGUGAGUAACACGUAGGUUAUCUGCCCAUCAGACGGGGACAACGAUUGGAAACGAUCGCUAAUACCGGAUAGGACGAAAGUUUAAAGGUGCUUCGGCACCACUUAGGGAUGAGCCUGCGGCGCAUUAGCUAGUUGGUAGGGUAAAGGCCUACCAAGGCGACGAUGCGUAGCCGACCUGAGAGGGUGAACGGCCACACUGGGACUGAGACACGGCCCAGACUCCUACGGGAGGCAGCAGUAGGGAAUCUUCGGCAAUGGGCGAAAGCCUGACCGAGCAACGCCGCGUGAAUGAUGAAGGCCUUCGGGUUGGAAAAUUCUGUUAUAAGGGAAGAAUGGCUUUAGUAGGAAAUGGCUAGAGUGUGACGGUACCUUAUGAGAAAGCCACGGCUAACUACGUGCCAGCAGCCGCUGUAA
rnacentral:rRNA from 1 species